rnacentral:rRNA from 1 species
CUAGCGACUUCAGAGUUUGAUCCUGGCUCAGGAUUAACGCUGGCGGCGUGCAUAACACAUUCAAGUCGAACGGUGAAGGGACUUCGGUCCCGGAUCAGUGGCGGACGGGUGAGUAACGCGUGAGCAACCUGCCCUUGUGUGGGGGAUAACGUUUGGAAACGGACGCUAAUACCGCAUAACCCAAUAGUACGGCAUCGUACAGUUGGCAAAGAUUUAUUGCACAAGGAUGGGCUCGCGUCUGAUUAGGUAGUUGGUGGGGUAACGGCCUACCAAGCCGACGAUCAGUAGCCGGACUGAGAGGUUGAACGGCCACAUUGGAACUGAGAUACGGUCCAG